GAUGAACGCUAGCGGCAGGCCUAAUACAUGCAAGUCGGACGGGAUUGGAGAGCUUGCUUUCCAUGAGAGUGGCGCACGGGUGCGUAACACGUAUGUAACCUACCUUGUUCAGGGGGAUAGCCUCUCGAAAGAGAGAUUAAGACCGCAUAACAUUGCGAUGUGGCAUCACAUUGUAAUCAAAUAUUUAUAGGAACAAGAUGGGCAUGCGGAACAUUAGCUAGUUGGUAAGGUAACGGCUUACCAAGGCUACGAUGGUUAGGGGAUAUGAGAGGAUGACCCCCCACACUGGUACAACGACACGGACCAGACUCCUACGGGAGGCAGCAGUAAGGAAUAUUGGUCAAUGGACGGAAGCCUGAACCAGCCAUGCCGCGUGCAGGAAGACGGCCCUAUGGGUUGUAAACUGCUUUUGCAGGGGAAUAAACCUUGGUACGUGUACCAAGCUGAAUGUACUCUGAGAAUAAGGAUCGGCUAACUCCGUGCCAGCCGCCGCAGUAA
rnacentral:rRNA from 1 species